rnacentral:lncRNA from 1 species
CUGUAUUGAGGGAACGGAAGAGGCUCCAAGGUAAAGACAAGGACGGCGUUUCAGGAGACCUCAGGCGAGAAACUGCCCAGGGAUUAACACAGCUGCUCACCAAAGGAUCACCGUUUGACCACCUUCCAUGCACGACCCUCAGGCACUUUCCUCCUGGCACCAGAGCCCAGGUCAGCCUGGGGUCUCCCAAUCAACAGCUCGACCGCAGACACCAGCCAACAGCCCAACAAAACCCCAAACCCAAGGGGAAAAUGGCAAAAGACCUCAAGAGACAUUUCCCGAAACAGACAUGCAGAGGGCAAAAAGCACUGGGAGACAUGUGCCCCGCAUCCCUCAUGAGGAGAGACAUGCACGUCAAAGGGACUCUGCAGGACCAACCCACCUCUCUCUGAAGGGCCACCAUUAGGAAGUCUACAAGGCACACAUUGGAAUGCUCCUCAAACAUUGAGAAAAAAAAAAAAAGCAGAACCCCGAAAACCCCAGAGCAAGAGGAAAAUGCCAUUCGCAGCCAUGUAGGUGGCACGAGAAGCUAGGUGACACCUCGUUUCAUACUAGGUGAACUAAGUCGGAACACGAACGACACAUACCAAGGGCUAUCCCUUCUAUGUGGAAGCUAGCAAAUGGAACCAACGAACCUUUCUAUGUAGAAGCAGCUCAUAGACUGGAAAACAUCGCUGUGGUUGCCAGAUGGUAGGGGGAGGCUGUGGGAAGGCCUGGGAUUUGGGAGUGGUAGAGUCAACCUCUUGUGCUUGGCAUGUGUUAGCAAUGAAGUCCUGCUCUAUAGCACAGGGAUUAUACCUGGCCACUUCUGUGGAACCAAAAUGGAAGACACUGCGACCAAAAGAAGAUGCAUAUACAUGUACGACUGGAUCGCGUUUGUGCUCAAGUGAAACUGGGCACCAUACAUCCGUGAGAAUGGAAAAUAAUCACCGAUAAAAUCCCACACCCUUAAUGGCUUGGGAUUCCCCACAGCAUGUGCUAUGGUACAUAGCCCUGCCUCUCAGGAGAAGCCAGGCGGGCUCCGUUGACCCUGACAAGGGGCACUGGCACUAUGAGCUGGGACCCGACGUGAUGACCAAGCGUGGAUAAAUUUCUUUCUGUACUAGCAUUUCCUUUUAUGUUUCUAAAUCCCUAAUUGAUGUUCCUGCCCCCAUGUGUGGCAUGCAGAUACACUCUGCCCCGGCAAUGAAUCCACUGCGAUGCUGUCCAUCCCAAGGCUUGCCCUUCAAACACUCUGCCACCUGAGGCAGAGGGUCAGGAGAGCCUUUGGGACUGCCUCAUCUGGCAAUACCCUUAGCUACACUGUCAGAAUAAGCAUGUGUACCCCUUUUCUUCUUUCUCAAUUAAGCUCAUACUGUCCCCAUCUCUUCGUCUUUAUAAAUGGAUCUCGAUGCCCCCUGUGACAAUGGGGUGCCCUUUGGCCAGACUUGGAUCUCGCUGGAGCCAUGUCCACAGCCACAGCACUGACAGAUAGACACUCUCAAGCCAGGCAGCCACGAGGGAACUCCCUGAGAGCUUGCUGGGUGAUUCCAAUCAACCCUGCUUCAUUCACCAGACCUGGGUUCGCUCAGGCCUCCAUACCCUGGCCCCGUCCGGAAACGGGAGGCUCCUCUCAAAAGGCAAGAAGGAAACUCCCCUGAGCCUUUGGAAGGGAGAAGCACAGGGAUUCGCCCAGCUCUGGGUCCACCACAAAGCCACCAAAGCCCCCCAUUCCUUCCACAGCAGCAGCAGCAGCAGCAGCAGCAGCAGCAGCCGCCUGAUUCUCCACCCACAUCCACCACCGACGGUCAGGGCCUUGCAAAUGGCCAGCUCCCGAGACCACACAGAUGCUGGGCGGGUCUCCGCUCCUGCGUCUGGAGGAACACAAGGCGUUCCGACACCCAGUGACUCCUUCCAGCAGCCUUCGAAGCACACUCCCAAGCCACCAGGCUGCCGAUCCACCUCCCAAUGCUACAGGGACGCCUGUGUCCUCUGCCUGACAGGAGGCGUCUUGGACCAGACAGUCCCCGGUGCCCAGGAACCAACGCAAAGGCCUCUGGGCGCUUGCUGUGGCUUCCUAUCCACACACUCUCCAUCCCACCACUCAGCCUGCACCUGCAGCCUUGCCGCUGCACCUGGGUCCAGAAGGUGCUCUGGCGCCGUCUUGUGGACACCUGCUCUAACAGCAACUCUCAGGUUUUCCUCCUCUCUCUGCCUCAGCCGCCCCCCAGGGCGGCACUGGCUGGGGGCAAUAUGCUCCUGGAAUGGCCUUCCCCCGCAGCUGCCGCCGCCGCCGCCGCCCCCGCCGCCGGCCUGAUCUAGCAAGAAGGGCCAAUCCAGGAGGGCCAUUGCUCUCUCAAAGGCUUUCGGAGCCUGGAGGCCCACCUCCACCUUGCCACUCCAUGCAAACCUUCAGCUCCCAACCCAUCCUAUCAGGACAGCCUUCUCCCUUUGGGAGAUAGCCCUGCCACGAUGCCGUUAUGGAGACAGGUCCGUAGGUAUGUACCCACUGAUUUUGUUCAUAGCUUUCCAGCUGUGACUCCUUCAUUCCUAUGCCAGAAUACUGCUUCUUUCCGUUCAUUCCUUUUGUCCUCUCUUUCCCUCGUGCUUCCUAGUGUAUGGACCCCACCGCAGCUGGCCUGAGUUGUCUGCACGUCGAUGUUUUCCCAGCAGCAGAGGUGAGCACGCCCGCCACAGGGACAAAGACAGCUCUGUUCCCCAGGGGAUUGGGGGGACUCUUGGGGACACCUCCCUUUUUCGCAAUCAAUCUACCAGCCUUAGGUCCGAUUUCCGGACCAGCUGUAUUGAGGGAACGGAAGAGGCUCCAAGGUAAAGACAAGGACGGCGUUUCAGGAGACCUCAGGCGAGAAACUGCCCAGGGAUUAACACAGCUGCUCACCAAAGGAUCACCGUUUGACCACCUUCCAUGCACGACCCUCAGGCACUUUCCUCCUGGCACCAGAGCCCAGGUCAGCCUGGGGUCUCCCAAUCAACAGCUCGACCGCAGACACCAGCCAACAGCCCAACAAAACCCCAAACCCAAGGGGAAAAUGGCAAAAGACCUCAAGAGACAUUUCCCGAAACAGACAUGCAGAGGGCAAAAAGCACUGGGAGACAUGUGCCCCGCAUCCCUCAUGAGGAGAGACAUGCACGUCAAAGGGACUCUGAAGGACCAACCCACCUCUCUCUGAAGGGCCACCAUUAGGAAGUCUACAAGGCACACAUCCCUGAGAGGGUGUGGACAAGAAGAUGCCCUCCUCCACGGUGGGUAUUUUUGUACGUGUGGACAACCGCGAUGGACCACACGAUCGAGGGAAUCCACAAAAAUCAAUAGCGGACGACCUCAGCACCCAGGCCUCCCACUCUUGGUCCUAUUUCCGGAAUUGGGUCUUUGAAAAAUGUAAAAGCCCCCGCUAUGUUCAUGCAGCACACUUCCCAAUAGCCAGCCAUGGAAAACAACUCAAUGUCCAUCGAGAGAUGAUUGGAUUAGGAAGAGAGUGGAUAUGUACACAUUGGAAU